rnacentral:rRNA from 1 species
UACGUAGGGUGCACGCGUUGUCCGGAAUUAUUGGGCGUAAAGAGCUCGUAGGCGGUCUGUCACGUCGGCUGUGAAAACCCGAGGCUCAACCUCGGGCCUGCAGUCGGUACGGGCAGACUAGAGUGUGGUAGGGGAGACUGGAAUUCCUGGUGUAGCGGUGAAAUGCGCAGAUAUCAGGAGGAACACCGAUGGCGAAGGCAGGUCUCUGGGCCACUACUGACGCUGAGAAGCGAAAGCAUGGGGAGCGAACAGG